rnacentral:lncRNA from 1 species
AACAAGCAAAACACGCCUGCAACAACCCAAGGGAAAGCGCCUACUAGAAAAAGAAUUUUUCACCUUACAAGGCCCGAAGAUCCAAUGACAAAAAGGCCCAAAAAACUUAUACAUCGAGAAAGCCCAACAAUGCACACAUGCCCUACUUACAAAGCUAAGAAAGUCUAAAAUAGGCAUGCAGGCCCGAGAGAAAGAACAAACAGAGAAAAGAAAAUAAAUCCACCUGCAACAAGCAAAACACGCCUGCAACAACCCAAGGGAAAGCGCCUACUAGAAAAAGAAUUUUUCACGUGUAUAGAGAGGCUAAUCGUCUGGCAGAUGGAUCGAUUAACUAUGCCGUUCUCUAUGUCUUUGGGUUUUCAUAUGUUUACGUCUAGUCCGGAGGAUUAGUUCUAUUAUAUUUGAGGAUGGUAUCGGCUUUUCACACACGAGUCUUGUUCGAGUGUAAUCUUAUUUUCUGUUUUAAUAAUACCUAGAUGAUUUUUCUCCUCUCUUUCACCAAAAAAAAAAAAAACAAAAACAAAAUGGUCACAGAGCUAUGCAUUGGCUAUAAUGUAAGAGAAUUGGGUUACCAAAAAGAGAAGGAAGACUGGGUUUCAAGGAUCUAGAAAUCUUCAAUCUGGCUUUACCACGUAAGCAGGUGUGGUGAAUUGUUCAAGCGCCAAAUAGUUUGUUAUCUCGUUUCUUAAAAGCAAAGUAUUUCCCACGUGAUAAUAUCUUUAAUGCAAAUCAUAGAGUUAAAGUUGAAAUCACUACUAGAAGAGAGAG